AUGCUAAGUUGGAUGUAAAUUAAAAAAGAAAAAAGGAAGAUCAGAAACCCUGAUUUCUUUUUUUUUUUUUUUUUUGUUAAUGUGUGUUUAUUUAUUUUUGAGAAAGAGAGAGAGGCAAAGAGAGAGAAUCCCAAGCAGGCUCCGUGCUGGCAGCUCAGAGCCUGACAUGAGGCUCGAACCCACAAACCGGGAGAUCAUGACCUGAGCUGAAAUCAAAAGUUGGACGCUUAAUCGACUGAGCCACUUAGGCGUCCCAGAAAUCCUGAUUUCUUAAUGAGCUGACAUGUCCCUUUUACCACCAUCUCAGUCCCCGCUCCAGGGACAGUGCCAAGUGGGGAAUUUGGUGCGGUACACCUGUCCUCCUGUAUCCCAGGUGUCCUAAGGUGAGCUCAGGGAGGACAGAAACCCCCUGUGGAGCAGAAGGGCAAAAGCUUCCUUGAUCCUGAUUUUCAUUACGAGGUACAGACCAUGAAAGCCUUCUGACCUUUAGGUUUAUUGAAUCAAAAUGAUAG
rnacentral:ncRNA from 1 species